AAGAAUAUCUACAAUGGCCAAACUGAUAGGCCUAACAAGUGUUUGUGUUUGUAAAAAAUAAUAGUAGUUAAGUAGUGAAUAAUUUUUUUUUUUUUUUUUUUAUUGCAAUAGGGACAAAAUGAGCAGGCCAAAUCUACACUUAUCUUGUAGUUAGUUAAGCACCACUAGUGAUCUGCUGAGUAGUUCUAUUCAUUUAUUUUAUAUUCCAGUCAUCUCCCCUGCAUUGUUAGCCAUCCAUUCUUGAAAUUCUUUUGUUUUGAUCUCUUGCUAUGUCUUGCUUUGUCACAAGAUUAUAAGAAGUUAUUUGCUGCAACUGAACUAGAUACUUUUAUGUUUGUUUUUAGGUACUUCUUAUGGUGAAGAGUGGUUCAGGCAAGACCAGUAUGUGGUCCAUAUUACUUGCUAAUACUAUUGCAAGGGACAUAAGAAGAAUAGGUGUAACAAUUUCCUCUUCUGAUGAUUGGGAAAUUACAUUUGAAAGUAUCACAGAUCUCCAGUGGCUAGGAAGUGGAGCCCAUGGGCCUGUGUUUCUUGGCAAACUCUGUAAUGAAAAAGUAGCUGUCAAGAAGGUCAAAGAUGUUAAAGAGACAGACAUUCAGAACUUAAGGAAACUGAAUCACCCCAACAUUAUAGCCUUCAAUGUUCUUGUGGCAUCCAAUGAUAUUGUCAGGAACCAGCGGAGAGUGGAAUGAAAAAAAAAAGCACUAAAAUGUCAUUUGCUGGCACUGUGGCCUGAAUGGCAUCAGAAGUCAUUUGAAAUAAAAUGUGCAGUGAAAUGAAAAAGUAGACAUUUGGAGUGCAAAGCUCAAAAAUAGACCAUCAUUUAGACAAAUUCUCAUGCACCUUGAGAUUGCCUCUGCUAAAUUACUUUGGUUCAGUUGGGAGGACUUUUCUGAAUCUCAAUGAAGUCCUUAACUGAAAGACACAGAUUCUGUCAUUAUCAUCAAGAUAUUCUAAGAAAGGAUCUGAGGUGAGAACAAUUACUGACUAUGUACAAUAACAGUAGUAAGAGUAUAAUUUGUCCAAUCAUAAAAGUUCUAGAAAAGCUAGAUCGACUUGGUAAAAAAACUGACACAUAGGUCAGAGUCUGAAGUCACCAUGCCUGACUCUAUAAAAAACACAGAAGGGAGCAUGAUAACCAGGUCUAAGCUGGUACCACCACCUCCUACGAAAAUGCGUGCCAGGAAGUCUCGUCAUCGUCGCAAAAACAGCAGAGGGUCUAUGAAAGACAUUACCUCUCCGCUCAAAUCUCAAUCUACAUAUGAAGCUUCACUGGACACCCAAACAUCAGACAAACUAAACCCUGCAGGGCUUCAUCCUACAGACCUAUGCUAAGAUAUUAAACUUUUUGGGACCUGCCACUGCAAUCAGGGAGUAUCGAAGUGAAGAUGAAGCUGAUG